UACGUAGGGGGCAAGCGUUGUCCGGAAUCAUUGGGCGUAAAGAGCGUGUAGGCGGCUCGAUAAGUCCGCUGUGAAAGUCCAGGGCUCAACCCUGGAAGGCCGGUGGAAACUGUCGGGCUAGAGUCCGGAAGAGGCAAGUGGAAUUCCCGGUGUAGCGGUGAAAUGCGCAGAUAUCGGGAGGAACACCAAUGGCGAAGGCAGCUUGCUGGGACGGUACUGACGCUGAGGCGCGAAAGCCAGGGGAGCAAACGGG
rnacentral:rRNA from 1 species